rnacentral:snRNA from 1 species
AGCUUUGCCCAGUGACAAUAUCGUAGCCAAUGAGGUUUAUCCAAAGCGCGAUUAUUGCUAAUUGAAAUCUAAUGGCUCUUCUC